UGUUGGGUUAAGUCCCGCAACGAGCGCAACCCUUGUCAUUAGUUGCUACGAAAGGGCACUCUAAUGAGACUGCCGGUGACAAACCGGAGGAAGGUGGGGAUGACGUCAAGUCCUCAUGGCCCUUAUGGGUAGGGCUUCACACGUCAUACAAUGGUACAUACAGAGGGCCGCCAACCCGCGAGGGGGAGCUAAUCCCAGAAAGUGUAUCGUAGUCCGGAUUGUAGUCUGCAACUCGACUGCGUGAAGUCGGAAUCGCUAGUAAUCGCGGAUCAGCAUGCCGCGGUGAAUACGUUCCCGGGUCUUGUACACACCGCCCGUCAC
rnacentral:rRNA from 1 species